rnacentral:rRNA from 1 species
UACGUAGGUCCCGAGCGUUGUCCGGAUUUAUUGGGCGUAAAGCGAGCGCAGGUGGUUUAAUAAGUCUGAUGUAAAAGGCAGUGGCUCAACCAUUGUGUGCAUUUGAAACUGGGUAUCUUGAGUGCAGGAGAGGGAAGCGGAAUUCCUAGUGUAGCGGUGAAAUGCGUAGAGAUUAGGAGGAACACCAGUGGCGAAGGCGGCUUCCUGGACUGUAACUGACGCUGAGGCACGAAAGCGUGGGGAGCAAACAGG